rnacentral:rRNA from 1 species
CCUACGGGAGACAGCAGUGAGGAAGAUUGGUCAAUGGACGCAAGUCUGAACCAGCCAUGCCGCGUGCAGGAAGACGGCUCGAUGAGUUGUAAACUGCUUUUGUACGAGGGGAAACGCAGAUACGCGUAUCUGUCUGAAAGUAUCGUACGAAUAAGGAUCGGCUAACUCCGUGCCAGCAGCCGCGGUAAUACGGAGGAUUCAAGCGUUAUCCGGAUUUAUUGGGUUUAAAGGGUGCGUAGGCGGGCGGAUAAGUUAGAGGUGAAAUCCCGAGGCUCAACUUCGGAAUUGCCUCUGAUACUGUUCGGCUAGAGCGUAGUUGCGGUAGGCUGCCUGUAUGGUGUAGCGGU